rnacentral:rRNA from 1 species
CUGACACAGGGAGGUAGUGACAAUAAAUAACAGUGCCGGGCCUUUCUAGGUCUGGCAAUUGGAAUGAGAAAUAUUUAAAUCCCCUAUCGAGGAUCAACUGAAGGGCAAGUCUGGUGCCAGCAGCCGCGGUAAUUCCAGCUUCAGUAGCGUAUAUUAAAGUUGUUGCAGUUAAAAAGCUCGUAGUCGCAUUUCUGGCGAGAGGAAUUGGUCCGACAUUUAUUGUGGGUACUCGAUUCUCUCUCGCCAUCCUUGAGUGGUCCGUUCUGGCAUUUAGUUGUCGGAGCGUCAGCCGCUCAUCGUUUACUGUGAGAAAAUUAGAGUGUUCAAAGCAGGCUUAUGCCGUUGAAUAUAUUAGCAUGGAAUAAUAAGAUAGGACCUCGGUGCUAUUUUGUUGGUUUGCGCACAGAGGUAAUGAUGAACAGGGACAGUUGGGGGUAUUUGUAUUUCGUUGUCAGAGGUGAAAUUCUUAGA